rnacentral:sRNA from 1 species
ACCAGGCGCAGUGGCACGUGCCUGUAAUCCCAGUGGCUUGGGAGGCUGAGGCAGGAGGAUCAUGGGUUCAAAGCCAGCCUCAGCAGCAGUGAGGCACUAAGCCACUCAGUGAGACCCUGUCUCUA